AUUGAACGCUGGCGGCAUGCUUUACACAUGCAAGUCGAACGGCAGCGCGGGCUUCGGCCUGGCGGCGAGUGGCGAACGGGUGAGUAAUGCAUCGGAACGUGCCCAGUAGUGGGGGAUAGCCCGGCGAAAGCCGGAUUAAUACCGCAUACGACCUGAAGGUGAAAGCGGGGGACCGAAAGGCCUCGCGCUAUUGGAGCGGCCGAUGUCGGAUUAGCUAGUUGGUGGGGUAAAGGCUUACCAAGGCGACGAUCCGUAGCUGGUCUGAGAGGACGACCAGCCACACUGGGACUGAGACACGGCCCAGACUCCUACGGGAGGCAGCAGUGGGGAAUUUUGGACAAUGGGGGCAACCCUGAUCCAGCCAUGCCGCGUGCGGGAAGAAGGCCUUCGGGUUGUAAAACGCUUUUGUUCGGGAAGAAAUCCUCUGGGCUAAUACCCCGGGGGGAUGACGGUACCGGAAGAAUAAGCACCGGCUAACUACGUG
rnacentral:rRNA from 1 species